UCCAGGAGCAAGUGAAUAAAGGGGCUU
rnacentral:piRNA from 1 species